rnacentral:rRNA from 1 species
CAGCCCAGAGCCUGAAUCAGUAUGUGUGUUAGUGGAAGCGUCUGGAAAGGCGCGCGAUACAGGGUGACAGCCCCGUACACAAAAAUGCACAUGCUGUGAGCUCGAUGAGUAGGGCGGGACACGUGGUAUCCUGUCUGAAUAUGGGGGGACCAUCCUCCAAGGCUAAAUACUCCUGACUGACCGAUAGUGAACCAGUACCGUGAGGGAAAGGCGAAAAGAACCCCGGCGAGGGGAGUGAAAAAGAACCUGAAACCGUGUACGUACAAGCAGUGGGAGCACGCUUAGGCGUGUGACUGCGUACCUUUUGUAUAAUGGGUCAGCGACUUAUAUUCUGUAGCAAGGUUAACCGAAUAGGGGAGCCGAAGGGAAACCGAGUCUUAACUGGGCGUUAAGUUGCAGGGUAUAGACCCGAAACCCGGUGAUCUAGCCAUGGGCAGGUUGAAGGUUGGGUAACACUAACUGGAGGACCGAACCGACUAAUGUUGAAAAAUUAGCGGAUGACUUGUGGCUGGGGGUGAAAGGCCAAUCAAACCGGGAGAUAGCUGGUUCUCCCCGAAAGCUAUUUAGGUAGCGCCUCGUGAAUUCAUCUCCGGGGGUAGAGCACUGUUUCGGCAAGGGGGUCAUCCCGACUUACCAACCCGAUGCAAACUGCGAAUACCGGAGAAUGUUAUCACGGGAGACACACGGCGGGUGCUAACGUCCGUCGUGAAGAGGGAAACAACCCAGACCGCCAGCUAAGGUCCCAAAGUCAUGGUUAAGUGGGAAACGAUGUGGGAAGGCCCAGACAGCCAGGAUGUUGGCUUAGAAGCAGCCAUCAUUUAAAGAAAGCGUAAUAGCUCACUGGUCGAGUCGGCCUGCGCGGAAGAUGUAACGGGGCUAAACCAUGCAC